UACGGGGGGGCAAGCGUUGUUCGGAAUUACUGGGCGUAAAGGCUCGUAGGCGGCCAACUAAGUCGGAUGUGAAAUCCCCAGGCUUAACCUGGGAACUGCAUCCGAUACUGGAUGGCUUGAAUCCGGGAGAGGGAUGCAGAAUUCCAGGUGUAGCGGUGAAAUGCGUAGAUAUCUGGAGGAAUACCGGUGGCGAAGGCGGCAUCCUGGACCGGCAUUGACGCUGAUGAGCGAAAGCUAGGGGAGCAAAGCGGGAUUAAGAUA
rnacentral:rRNA from 1 species